CUACGGGGGGCUGCAGUGGGGAAUAUUGGACAAUGGGCGAAAGCCUGAUCCAGCCACGCCGCGUGUGUGAAGAAGGCCUUCGGGUUGUAAAGCACUUUCAGUGGGGAAGAAAGCCUUGGGGCUAAUACCCUCGAGGAAGGACAUCACCCACAGAAGAAGCACCGGCUAACUCCGUGCCAGCAGCCGCGGUAAUACGGAGGGUGCGAGCGUUAAUCGGAAUUACUGGGCGUAAAGCGCGCGUAGGCGGUCUGAUAAGCCGGUUGUGAAAGCCCCGGGCUCAACCUGGGAACGGCAUCCGGAACUGUCAGGCUAGAGUGCAGGAGAGGAAGGUAGAAUUCCCGGUGUAGCGGUGAAAUGCGUAGAGAUCGGGAGGAAUACCAGUGGCGAAGGCGGCCUUCUGGACUGACACUGACGCUGAGGUGCGAAAGCGUGGGUAGCAAACAGGAUUAGAUACCCUAGUAGUC
rnacentral:rRNA from 1 species